UGGCGGACGGGUGAGUAAUGUCUGGGAAACUGCCCGAUGGAGGGGGAUAACUACCGGAAACGGUAGCUAAUACCGCAUAACGUCGCAAGACCAAAGAGGGGGACCUUCGGGCCUCUUGCCAUCGGAUGUGCCCAGAUGGGAUUAGCUAGUAGGUGGGGUAAUGGCUCACCUAGGCGACGAUCCCUAGCUGGUCUGAGAGGAUGACCAGCCACACUGGAACUGAGACACGGUCCAG
rnacentral:rRNA from 1 species